CAGUAGCCGCGGGAAUACGGAGGGUGCAAGCGUUAAUCGGAAUUACUGGGCGUAAAGCGUGCGUAGGCGGUUCGUUAAGUCUGUUGUGAAAGCCCCGGGCUCAACCUGGGAAUGGCAAUGGAUACUGGCGAGCUAGAGUGUGUCAGAGGAUGGUGGAAUUCCCGGUGUAGCGGUGAAAUGCGUAGAGAUCGGGAGGAACAUCAGUGGCGAAGGCGGCCAUCUGGGACAACACUGACGCUGAGGCACGAAAGCGCGGGGAGCAAACAGGAUUAGAUACCCCUGUAGUCCCUGUCUCUUAUAC
rnacentral:rRNA from 1 species